rnacentral:lncRNA from 1 species
AUGACGCCAGCGCAUCGCUGGCACGCGCCCAGCGCCAGGCUGGGAGGCACCAGGGCGGCCGACGGCGGGGCCGGGGCCGCAUCCAGCCCUGCCCCUCGCCGCCAUCUCGGGGAGUGGCCCCGGGGUGUCCCCAGCGUCCCCGCGGGGCUGGCACGGGGCUGGCGGGGGGCCACCCCGCUGCCCCUUCGUGCACCAGGGGGCUGGGGUGGGGGUUUGGGGGCUUCUUGCUGCCCUGUGGGGAGCCCCUGGAGCCCCACUUUUCCCCCAUAUGAACCCCGUUUGUUUCCCCACGGGAAGCCCACAGCCACCCCCCUGGAACCCCAUUGCCUCCCCGCUGCUGCCCCAUGGGAACUCUCCUGCUGUCCCACAAAAAUCCCGUUGCUCCCCCCGCAGAUUCCCCAUUGGAACCCCCCAGACCCCCCUGGGGACCCCUCUGCUGCCCCACAGCCCUCGGUGCCGACCCCAAGGCGCCGUCCCACGGCUCUCCGAGGGCUGAUCCUGGCAGGACCCUGCUUUAGGGGUCCCCACAGUCCCCCUGAGCCCCCCAAAGCAAUCACACCUGCAGGACCCCGGUGCCCCCAGGAGCCCCGAGCCCCCUCCAGCGCCUUGGGGCCGGGGUCUCCAUCUCCCCCCCACCUGCCCUGCCCCGAGGCCGCCGCCGUUUGUGUGAGAACCUCGGCGCCUUUCAGGGCCCUCGGCCCCUCAAAGGGGGCAGCCAGGCAGAAAGACAAAGGCUCGGCGCGCCUGGGGGGCACGGGGGGGCCGGGCACGGCCGGCGGGCACGGAGCGAGGGGCCGCAGCAAGGUGCAGAGGCUGCAAGGAGCGAGUGUGCAACGGCGCUGUGCAUGCACAAGAGUGUGCACAAGAGUGUGCAUGGGUGUGCAAAUGCAUGCACAGGAGCGUGUGCAUGUGUGGACAAGUGUGCGUGCACCAGAUGCUUGCACAGGAGCGUGUGUGCGUGCACGUGUUUGUGUGUGCAUGAGUGCAUGCACCAGAUGCUUGCACGGGACCACGUGCAUGUGUGUGCAUGCACCAGAUGCUUGCUUGCACAGCNNNNNNNNNNCGGCCGGCGGGCACGGAGCGAGGGGCCGCAGCAAGGUGCAGAGGCUGCAAGGAGCGAGUGUGCAACGGCGCUGUGCAUGCACGGGAGUGUGCAUGGGUGUGCAAAUGCAUGCACAGGAACGCGUGCAUGUGUGGACAAGUGUGCAUGCACCAGAUGCUUGCUUGCACCGAGUGUGUGUGCGUGCACAGGAACAUGUGCACGUGUNNNNNNNNNNGUGUGUGUGCAUGCGUGCACGUGUGUGUGUGUGCGCAUGCACUGGAUGCUUGCUUGCACAGCAGUGCAUACACAUGAGUGUGUGCAUGUGUGUGCACCAACUUUACCUCUUGCACAGGUGUGCACAGCCCAGCAGUGUGCAUGCACAGGAGCUGCAAACAUGAGCGCAGGCCAUGUUCACGUGCACACUCGUGUGUGUGCAUGAGUGCAUGCACCAGAUGCUUGCACAGGAGCACAUGCACGUGUAUGUGCAUGCACCAGAUGCUUGCUUGCACAGCAGUGCAUGCACAUGAGUGUGUGCACGUGUGUGCACCAACUUUACCUCUUGCACAGGUGUGCACAGCCCAGCAGUGUGCAUGCACAGGAGCUGCAAACAUGAGCGCAGGCCAUGUUCACGUGCACACUCGUGUGUGUGCAUGCGUGCACGGGUGUGUGUGUGUGCAUGCACUGGAUGCUUGCUUGCACAGGAGUGCAUGCACAUGAGUGUGUGCACGUGUGUGCACCAACUUUACCACUGCACGGGUGUGCACAGCCCAGCACUGAGUGUGCACAGGAGCUGCAAACACGAGCAUAGACCAUGUCCUUGUGCACACCCAUGUGUGUGCAUGCAUGCACGGGUGUGUGUGUGUGCACGGGUGUGUGCAUGCACGGGUGUGUGUGCCCUUGCACAUGCAGCCGCGUGCACCCUCCCCGAGCGCGCCCAUGCCAGGCUCCGUGCAUUUCGGCUCAGCCUUCGCACCCCAGCCCCCUCCUCCUCCUCCUCCUCCUCCCCUCGCUGCCCUUUGCACAAAGGCCUGGGCUGCAGAUGUGCGGCCGCUGCUCUCCCCCCACGGGGGGGGGGGUCCCAGGGUGCCCCCGUUCCCCCCACCCAUGGGCGAGCCGGGAGCUGGCGGCGCCUCUGCCCUCGUUAUUUCCUCUUCAUUUCUGGGGCUGUCAGAAUUACGGAGCAGGGCUGUUUAUUGGCUUGAGUUUAAUUAAUUUGUGUAAUAUCCCUGUUAGGAACAAUGUCUAAUUAAGACUUUUGUUUGUGUGUGCGCGCCGGGGGGAGGGGACUUCUUCUUUGGGAAAGAGGGGGAAAAAAAAAAAUAAAAAAAAAAAAUAGAAAAACCAAAUUCCCUAAUCAUUAAUGGAGGGGAAAGAAAUAUUUAAACGGGGCUGGCACCCUUCCACCGAGCUGCUGGUAAGCGCUCUCGUUACAGAUGUCUUAAUGAGACAUCUCUUAAUAAUGGGAUUAUCAUUCACAUUGAAUCGGGACGAGCAGCUGGGAGCGCCAGCCUCCGAUACGGGGCCCCGAGAGGAUGGGGCAGAGCGGCCCCGUGCUGAGGGAUGGGGAUGGGACCCCCCCAGUGCCACGGGGCAGGACCCCCCCCCUCGAAUUUAUCCUGGUGCUGGGUAAAUCCAGCAUGUUUUGGGGUGCUGGGCUCACCCCCUGGCAAAGGGGGGGUUCGGUGGAAACCUCGACUGGGGCGCGGUGACCCCUUUGAAACCACAAGGGUUUUUUUUUUUUUUGGGGGGGGGCACCCUUGUUGUCCCCCCCACCUCAUGGCCCCUCGCUCCCUUCCCCCUCCGCUCCAGAAAAUAGGGGCAGGAAUCUCAGCCCACCCCGACCCCGUGGCCACCACCAAAAAAUUUGGGGUCCUGGGUGGGGAAUGGGUUGGGAUGGGGGGGGUCUGCAGGGCACCCACCCCCCCCACCAGCACCCCCGGGGCGGUGACACCAGGGGGUCCCGUGGGGUUUCGUGCCCACCAAGGCCAGCUUGGCCAAAUGGGGUUGACCCCAGUGCCGGGGUCCCCAUGGGGUGGCAACAUGGGAACACCGUGGGGGCCGCCCUGGAGCCCCCCCCUCGCCGCCGGCCCCUGCGAGUCCCGCAAAGGAGAAGCUGGAGCAGCCCUGGCUGCGCUCCUGCGGUCAGAGCCCAGCAAUGAUCCUACAAGCCUGGAAUUUGAGGAAUUUCCUGCCAAGGCUCUCUGGAAGAAGAGGGAGAGAAAGGAAACCCGGCCUUAACCCUCAGCUCCCCGCGCCCGGCCCCGAAUCCCCGAUCCCACAACGGGCAGGGGCUGGCACGGGGCGGAGAGGGGGGGCUGCAGGCACUUUUUGGGGUGCCCCUGGAUUUUUUGGGGUGCUCCCCGUUCGCUUUGGCCACGCUGCGUGCAGAGCCCUGGCCCCACAGCCCUCCCCGAGGCCCCGUGCCUCAGUUUCCCCCAAAUCUCUGCCAAAAAUCCCUGGNNNNNNNNNNCCCCGCCGUGCCCCCCACCCCAUCCCCA